GAUAGCCAAAAAUUGUCGCAGGAUUCAACGUUGGAUUGGUAAUGACACGAACGUCACCGCCGCCUGGUGCCCAUGUAUCGUAAACACCACCUAAGAACAUGGCUUUAAUCACCAGCAAAAAUGCACCUAAUCCUAACAGGAUCAAGUGAUAACCAAUGAUGUUGGUCAUCUGGUUCUUAUCUUUCCA
rnacentral:antisense_RNA from 1 species